UGAUGACUGGGUUAAACAAGACUGCAGAGCGUAGUCAAUCCAUUGGUUGUCUAAUUGCUUAGCUCUGUCUAUCACUUGCUGCUUAUGCUACUUAUAACCUGUCUUAUUGUUUAGACGAUGUCCAAUUUGAGCUGUUCUGUAAGGGAACUUUACGAAUGUUAUGAAUAAACGGUGGAACUGUGAUAAGCUACAUGAAUUCGAAAACAACUUUCUGAUUCACCACUUUGCGAAAUGCAACCACACAAGCUCACUCACAGAGAUGGAAGGACAAGGAAAGUCAUCUCUUGGUUUUAGUGAGCUUAUUUCGUAGAAUCCCUGGCCAAGCCAGAUGACCUACACAUCUUUGGACUGUGGGAGCAAACAAAAGCAAACGCACACAGACUCCACAGAGGCAGUCCCCAAAAGCUACAAUUGAACCUGCAUCAGAGGAGCAGUAAAAUUUGCAGGAAAAAUACUUUCCACAACUUGAAACAUACGACGAGGGUGCCACACAUCAGUUGCUGCAGGACUGUCUCCCUGCAGCAAAUUGCAAAUACACUGCCUGCCGAAGAUGGAGUUUUGGUGAAGAGAUUACAAUAAGCUCCAAAGUACAGAAAAGGUGGAAGUAUGUGUCACUGUACACUCAAGGUCUACAUAUGAUUUAGAGAGGAUGAAAGUAAAUGAAAUAUCAUCAGAAAUUUUGAGGUCGAUAGGACUCAAGGACUUCCUCCACAAAUCCUGCAUAUGAAUCAUGGAACUCGGAGCUCAGUAACACGCCACUACUUCCAGCAUUCAAACUCAGGACUGCCGGACAAAAGAUCUUUUUCUAGCUUAUUGUCCACUCACUUCAAAACUUUUCAUCGAAAGGAGAAAAUCAAUUAUUAUUUCCAAGUAUCGUUCGAAUGAAUAAGAAAUGCAAAGGGGGAGACUAAGAGCACAAUAUAGACUGAGCAGAAAAGACUGGAUCUUGGCAGGUGUCUCAGUUGCUGACGAGAGUUUGCGUCGGAGAGACGGCAGGAUAGCUGCAGACACAUGAGGACAGGAAGUUCAUUGACAGUCCCAGGAGAUGGAAGAAAUAUCUACAAUAUGUACCUCGAGUUCAUCGUAAAUUGAAUCUGAGAGGAUCAUCGAAGCACUACAGUGCGGACAGAGAGGCCAUUCGGCCCAUCCGAAUCUCCGAAGAGAGUCCCACCUGUUGAACACAGCAGCUCCACAUCCAUCUAUCCAUCUCAAACUGAUAAAUAAUUCCAAUAAACGCCGAGUAUCUACUCCUGUAUUCAAAGGCCACCCAAGUGCAAAUCGACUUGCAAUCGAUCAGUCUGCGCUUCUGGACCAGGGCCUGUGAAUAAUGCCUGCCAGAAAUACAAUCAAAAUACUGAGAUGUUGAGAAUUUGAAUUGAAUCUGAGAAAACACGGUAAUGCUCAGCAGGUCAGAGAACAUUAGUGGAGAAGGGAAAGGUAAUUAACACUGAAGGUAUGUGAUUUUGUGUCAUUUUGCAGUAUAACAUUUAUAGACUAACAAGGAGUAACGGCGGCCGCUGUCUCCACAAUACACCGCGGACAGGAAACCACGCUAUCUCCUGCGGUGACAAGCCCAGGCACUGAUCGUGCUGAUACUCCCCAAGCUGUGACGCGAACCUGACGAGAGCCGCAUGCGCUCUCGCUGAGGCUGCUGUCGGCCGCGCCUUGUGCACCCGCUGAGCCACACCGCGCAUGACACGUGUAAUAAUCCAACAAUUGAAUUAUGCUGAUCAAUUGAUGAAAUAUAUAUUCUUUUUAAUUGUUGUCACUCUCUCACACUGUUCCCAUGUGAUCGCAUCUUUCUGUAAGAUAAUGCAGCAGGAUUUCUAUCUGAUAGGUGAAACAUACCACAGGCCUGAAAUGAAGAGCGAAAGUAAGUUUCUGUGGCUCAGUUUAAGGUCUACUGCCAUGAAGACCGUCAGUGUUGAAUGGUUUGUUUUCUGGAGCUCAGAUUUCGUGGCCAUUAAAGGAUAUUUGCUAUA